UCUUAAAUCAUUGAAUUAGAAAGCUUUGUCUCAAGUUUAAUAAUUUGCCUGAGGUCACACAGCUGGUUAAUGGUUAACAUACUUCUCUGAUAAAGGUCACUAGAGGUUCUUAUGAAGAUACUUUUAGGUGGCGUAACAAAUGUGUUUAUGCAUAUUCAAGACACUCUUGUAUCCACAGGUUGCACUGCUGUGAUCCAUCCUCAUCUCCUAAAGAUGCAUCCUGACUUAUCUCCACACUUGCACACUGAAGAAUGCAACGUCUUGAUUAACUUGCUUAAGGAAUGUCACAAAAAUCACAACAUUCUGAAAUUUUUUGGUUAUUGUAAUGAUGUUGAUCGGGAGUUGAGAAAAUGCCUGAAGAAUGAGGUUCUUGCUCUGUCACCUAAGCUGGAGUGCAGUAGGGUGAUCGUAACUCACGGAAGCCUCAAACUCAAGUGAUCCUCCCACCUCAGCCUCCUGAGUAGCUAGGACGACAGUACGUAGAAAACAGGACCAAGAGCAGGGAGCAUGGCAUUGCAAUGCGAAAGAAACUUUUUAAUCCUCCA
rnacentral:lncRNA from 1 species